rnacentral:rRNA from 1 species
UACGGAGGGGGCUAGCGUUGUUCGGAAUUACUGGGCGUAAAGCGCACGUAGGCGGCUUUGCAAGUCAGAGGUGAAAGCCCGGGGCUCAACCCCGGAAUUGCCUUUGAGACUGCAUCGCUAGAAUUGUGGAGAGGUAAGUGGAAUUCCGAGUGUAGAGGUGAAAUUCGUAGAUAUUCGGAAGAACACCAGUGGCGAAGGCGGCGACCUGGGCCAAUAUUGACGCUGAGGUGCGAAAGCGUGGGGAGCAAACAGG